AAGCAGAGUAAUAAGACAGGAAUAAGCUCAGAAGAGGUAGAUUUUUAAAAAUUUAUUUCUUUUAAAUCUAGUGAAGCUUAUUUUCAUUCGUUUCGUUGUCAUUUGCACUGUAAGUUAUCAGAAUUUCUGUAACCCGAAAAUGAGUCCUAAGUGUAUAGAGUCUCAUGUAAAAAAACAGCUCUUCAGUGUUUGGUGGCAGCUGCUGCUCCUGGGUGGAGAUCCGCGCUGGCCUGGUUGGAUUUGACCAGAGGUUGCCAGUGAUGUGGCAAAGGAGGACACAAUAAAUCACAGCAUUUGAAGAGCAUCCCGAGUUCAAAGCUGUCUUCAUGCUUAUUCUCCCGAGCAUCCUUUCAAGCUAAGAAGAGCCCAGCUAGACAGCUUCCUGACUGGCCUCACAGGGCAUAUUGGAAAGGAGUGUAUCGGCAAUAAAGACUGCUGAGACAUGCCAAACUGCCUGGAAAAAGCAUGAGUUCAGAAGCCUGGAAGAAGCAAAGACCAGCCAAGCAGCUUAGAAGAAACAAGAACCAGCCUAGCUGCCAGGAAGAGGCUCACACAAUGGAGGCAUGCAGAACUAACACCCUCUGACCUAUUGAGCUGCCUGCAGGCUGUGCAGUGGGCCCCAGGUUCCCAGUUUUUGUGAGCUGUCAACCAUGGGGGCUGUGGGAGGGCUUUGGUGAUGGAUCUGUCUUUGAGUCAUUUCCGCUCCUGUAAGUAACCUCACAUUUGUAUUUCUGUAAGUAAUCUGGAUAAACCUCAUUGGUCUACCAAG
rnacentral:lncRNA from 1 species